rnacentral:rRNA from 1 species
AGUCGCGAGGAUCUUAAUAGUCGGUCGCGACUGUUGUCAUAGUCAACGACGGUUGAAACUUCCAGGAAAAAACUUCGAAUUGGGAGGGCGAUCCUCCCGGUGAACUGACCGUACCCCAAACCGACACAGGUGAACAAGUAGAGUAUACUAGGGCGCGUCGAGAGAACCAUGUCGAAGGAACUCGGCAAAAUGACCCCGUAACUUCGGGAGAAGGGGUACGCGCAAAACCUUACCAGCCCUUGACAUAUGAACAACAAAACCUGUCCUUAACGGGAUGGUACUGACUUUCAUACAGGUGCUGCAUGGCUGUCGUCAGCUCGUGUCGUGAGAUGUUUGGUCAAGUCCUAUAACGAGCGAAACCCUCGUUUUGUGUUGCUGAGACAUGCGCCUAAGGAGAAAUUGCCACCGAAGUGAGCCGAGGAGCCGAGUGACGUGCCAGCGCUACUACUUGAUUGAGUGCCAGCACGUAGCUGUGCUUUCAGCAAGAAUUUCACCAUUGGGAGCCGGUGCCUUUCGAAGCACUUUCACGUGUGAACCGAAGUCGUCUUGCCGAACUCAAGACCUACCUAUAGUGACGUCAAAGUACCGCAUGGAGGUUUGGUUAGGCUUGGUUACGACGACGUCGAGUUGGCGGCGGAGGAAGACUCGGCAUGAAGGCCAGCCGCCCGGUGGUGUGGUACGUAGUGGUAAUAGUACGCGCCCCGCUCCGAAACAAAGAAAAAGGUGCGUGCCGCACUCACGAGGGACUGCCAGUGAGAUACUGGAGGAAGGUGGGGAUGACGUCAAGUCCGCAUGGCCCUUAUGGGCUGGGCCACACACGUGCUACAAUGGCAAUGACAAUGGGAAGCAAGGCUGUAAGGCGGAGCGAAUCCGGAAAGAUUGCCUCAGUUCGGAUUGUUCUCUGCAACUCGGGAACAUGAAGUUGAAAUCGCUAGUAAUCGCGGAUCAGCAUGCCGCGGUGAAUAUGUACCCGGGCCCUGUACACACCGCCCGUCACACCCUGGGAAUUGGUUUCGCCCGAAGCAUCGGACCAAUGAUCACCCAUGACUUCUGUGUACCACUAGUGCCACAAAGGCCUUUGGUGAUCUUAUUGGCGCAUACCACGGUGGGGUCUUCGACU